GCAGAACUGGUUACGCUUUAUGCCAAGCAUACUGGAAAGUCGACUGAGGAGAUUGAAGCCGAUAUCAGGCGGCCAAAAUAUUUUAGUCCCAGCGAAGCAGUUGAAUAUGGUAUCAUAGAUAAGGUACUAUACAACGAAAGAGCAACCGAGGACCGGGGAGUUGUAUCUGACCUGAAAAAGGCACAACUUAUUUAGUGUAGAAAAAUGUGGAUUGGUAAAAUAAUACCAAGAUUGAAGUUUGUGCAAAUAUUGAUAUCUAAGAAGAAAUCUGGAAUCCACAAGCAGUCUUAG
rnacentral:misc_RNA from 1 species